CCUACGGGAGGCAGCAGUGGGGAAUAUUGCACAAUGGGCGCAAGCCUGAUGCAGCCAUGCCGCGUGUGUGAAGAAGGCCUUCGGGUUGUAAAGCACUUUCAGCGGGGAGGAAGGCGUUAAGGUUAAUAACCUUGUCGAUUGACGUUACCCGCAGAAGAAGCACCGGCUAACUCCGUGCCAGCAGCCGCGGUAAUACGGAGGGUGCAAGCGUUAAUCGGAAUUACUGGGCGUAAAGCGCACGCAGGCGGUCUGUCAAGUCGGAUGUGAAAUCCCCGGGCUCAACCUGGGAACUGCAUUCGAAACUGGCAGGCUAGAGUCUUGUAGAGGGGGGUAGAAUUCCAGGUGUAGCGGUGAAAUGCGUAGAGAUCUGGGGGAAUACCGGUGGCGAAGGCGGCCCCCUGGACAAAGACUGACGCUCAGGUGCGAAAGCGUGGGGAGCAAACAGGAUUAGAUACCCUUGUAGUC
rnacentral:rRNA from 1 species